AUCAUGUGUUUAAUUCGAUGAUACGCGAAGAACCUUACCAGGCUUGACAUCCCUUGCAAAGCUAUGGAGACAUAGUGGAGGUUAGUCAAGGAGACAGGUGGUGCAUGGUUGUCGUCAGCUCGUGUCGUGAGAUGUUGGGUUAAGUCCCGCAACGAGCGCAACCCUUGUCUUUAGUUGCCAUCAUUUAGUUGGGCACUCUAAAGAGACUGCCGGUGUCAAACCGGAGGAAGGUGGGGAUGACGUCAAGUCCUCAUGGCCUUUAUGACCAGGGCUACACACGUACUACAAUGGCCGGUACAAAGGGCAGCGACACAGCGAUGUGAUGCGAAUCCCGAAAAGCCUGUCUCAGUCCGGAUCGGAGUCUGCAACUCGACUCCGUGAAGUUGGAAUCGCUAGUAAUCGUGGAUCAGCAUGCCACGGUGAAUACGUUCCCGGGCCUU
rnacentral:rRNA from 1 species